rnacentral:lncRNA from 1 species
AUUUCCCCUGAAAUUACGAACGACCACGGAUUGUUGUCGUUGUAAGAGAAAAUGACACUUUUUUUAAUCGCAGUCUGAACGUAGGCCUUCUUUGAGAAUGCUUCACAUUAAACCAUAUGACAGAUAGUUUGAAGUGUAUAUUUGUGGCUUAUGCUCAAGAUCGCUUUCUCACACUUUCUGUUCUAGAAGACUAAUAUAUUCUGACACAUUUUAAUUCUAUGAAUGUCAACACAUUUCAAUUCUAUGAAUGUCAAUAAUUGACAACAACGUUAAUGACAAGCCACAAUAAAUGUCAAUAAUUGAUGUUAAAUUACUUAUGUUGGGCCCAUUCUCUUUCAAGCACAAAAGGUAGUUGACUUGUUCUUUAUCUUAUGCUUGUUGGUGCUCGCUAGACCGAUGAUGUUAAAAGAUAGCAUGGUUCAUAGUUGACUUUUUCUGUUUCAAUAUUUAAGCAUUAUGUUUACAUGGAAUAAAAUGCAAUUUUUACUUAUUUUCUUGUAUACAUUUGAGUGAUGCCACAAUUUUUUCAAUGUCUUUCCAGUUGUUGCCUCUUAUACUACACUUUGCAGAUUG